rnacentral:rRNA from 1 species
AAAAUGCUGCGCAGAGGUUUCGUUAAUUCGCUUCGCUUCCAAGAUGAAGCAAGGACCGCAAGCUUGGUCUCUGAAGCGCCGAAUUUCUGAUUAGCUAGGUGGGUCAGUAAGGCUCACCCAAGGCGGCGAUCAGUAGCUUUUCGAGGAGGACGACCAGCCCACACUGGAACUGAGACACGGUCCAGACUUCUUACGGGAGGCAGCAGUGGGGAAUUUGGACAAUGGGGGCAACCUGAUCCAGCAAUGCCGCGUGAGUGAAGAAGGCCUUCGGGUUGUAAAGCUCUUUUGUCAGGGAAGAAAAGGGUACGGCUAAUAUCCGUGCCUCAUGACGGUACCUGAAGAAUAAGCACCGGCUAACUACGUGCCAGCAGCCGCGGUAAUACGUAGGGUGCAAGCGUUAAUCGGAAUUACUGGGCGUAAAGCGUGCGCAGGCGGUUUUGUAAGUCUGUCGUGAAAUCCCCGGGCUUAACCUGGGAAUGGCGAUGGAGACUGCAAGGCUAGAGUUUGGCAGAGGGGGGUAGAAUUCCACGUGUAGCAGUGAAAUGCGUAGAGAUGUGGAGGAACACCGAUGGCGAAGGCAGCCCCCUGGGUCAAGACUGACGCUCAUGCACGAAAGCGUGGGGAGCAAACAGGAUUAGAUACCCUGGUAGUCCACGCCCUAAACGAUGUCUACUAGUUGUUGGGUCUUAAUUGACUUAGUAACGCAGCUAACGCGUGAAGUAGACCGCCUGGGGAGUACGGUCGCAAGAUUAAAACUCAAAGGAAUUGACGGGGACCCGCACAAGCGGUGGAUGAUGUGGAUUAAUUCGAUGCAACGCGAAAAACCUUACCUACCCUUGACAUGUCAGGAACCUUGGAGAGAUCUGAGGGUGCCCGAAAGGGAACCUGAACACAGGUGCUGCAUGGCUGUCGUCAGCUCGUGUCGUGAGAUGUUGGGUUAAGUCCCGCAACGAGCGCAACCCUUGUCAUUAGUUGCUACGAAAGAGCACUCUAAUGAGACUGCCGGUGACAAACCGGAGGAAGGUGGGGAUGACGUCAAGUCCUCAUGGCCCUUACGAGUAGGGCUACACACGUGCUACAAUGGCGCAUACAAAGAGAAGCGAACUCGCGAGAGCAAGCGGACCUCAUAAAGUGCGUCGUAGUCCGGAUUGGAGUCUGCAACUCGACUCCAUGAAGUCGGAAUCGCUAGUAAUCGUAGAUCAGAAUGCUACGUAUCGUUA